rnacentral:rRNA from 1 species
AUUGAACGCUGGCGGCAGGCCUAACACAUGCAAGUCGAACGGUAACAGGAAGAAGCUUGCUUCUUUGCUGACGAGUGGCGGACGGGUGAGUAAUGUCUGGGAAACUGCCUGAUGGAGGGGGAUAACUACUGGAAACGGUAGCUAAUACCUCAUAACGUCGCAAGCCCAAAGAGGGGGACCUUCGGGCCUCUGGCCAUCGGAUGUGCCCAGAUGGGAUGAGCUGGUAGGUGGGGUAACGGCUCACCUAGGCGACGAUCCCUAGCUGGUCUGAGAGGAUGACCAGCCACACUGGAACUGAGACACGGUCCAGACUCCUACGGGAGGCAGCAGUGGGGAAUAUUGCACAGUGGGCGCAAGCCUGAUGCAGCCAUGCCGCGUGUAUGAAGAAGGCCUUCGGGUUGUAAAGUACUUUCAGCGGGGAGGAAGGGAGUAAAGUUAAUACCUUUGCUCAUUGACGUUACCCGCAGAAGAAGCACCGGCUAACUACGUG